UGACAGAGUUCCCUCAAAACUCCUCUUUCUAUCUACUGUCAACUGAUUACUGAUCACAAGAUCUCAGUCCUCUAUGAUCUAAGGGAUGGUGUCGAGGUCCCAGAGUCUCAGGAUGAACAGUUUAAAGGACGAGUCCAGUGUGACAAAGACGUCCUCAGAGAAGGACGAAUCAGACUUCAUGUGUCCAGACUCAGGACUGAAGACUCGGGCCUGUACCUGUGUGAAGUGAGAACAAAUUAUGGCUUGAGCUCUGACAGAUGUCGACUCAGAGUCAGUGCAGCUGAUGAGCCCAAACCUCAGAGACCAACAGAGAGUCCACAACCAGAGAGUCCGGGAAUGAUCGUCCUCUAUGUUGUACUGGGACUGGCAGCAGCAGCAGCAGCAGCAGCAGUUCUACUGGCUGUCUUUUGUUACUUCUGCCGUUGAGGACCCCAGCUACCGCCACUAGCUUUAUCUGACUGUCAGCUAUUUUCAGCAGAAUGAGAGCUUCAUGGGGACAUGCUGCUAUCAUGUGACCUGAGUCAAAAGCCUUUUCAUAAAUAUCCUAAAUAUUUCUUCAGGUUGUAAAAUGUCCCAGUUGUUUGAGUUGUCAGUGUAUGAAGAGUUUCUCAUUCACUCAUUCAUUCAGGAAUCAUUCACAUUGAGCUGUAAGUUGGUUCACUCAUUGAUCGCUCUGUUCUCCCUCCAGCUGUUAUCAAUCAUCAGUCUUAAACAAUGAGUCUGAAUCAACAAGACAACAGAAUGAGAAGAGAAUUGUUCAUUAUUAUAUCUUAAUCCUCCUGAUGGAUAUUGUUACAAUGCACUGACUUUGUGCUCUUUAUAAUGUGUACAUAUUGUAAAUAAAUCUCUAUUUAUAUGAGCAGAAGUUGU